rnacentral:rRNA from 1 species
GUGGGGAAUCUUCCGCAAUGGACGAAAGUCUGACGGAGCAACGCCGCGUGAGUGAAGAAGGCCUUCGGGUCGUAAAGCUCUGUCAUCAGGGACGAACGGCCGGUGGAGUGGAAAGCCACCGGAUUGACGGUACCAUACGAGGAAGCCCCGGCAAACUACGUGCCAGCAGCCGCGGUAAUACGUAGGGGGCAAGCGUUGUCCGGAAUGAUUGGGCGUAAAGGGCGCGUAGGCGGCCUGGUAAGGCUGGAGUGAAAGUCCUGCUUUUAAGGUGGGAAUUGCUUUGGAUACUGUCGGGCUUGAGUGCAGGAGAGGUAAGUGGAAUUCCCGGUGUAGCGGUGAAAUGCGUAGAGAUCGGGAGGAACACCAGUGGCGAAGGCGACUUUCUGGACGAUGUCUGACGCUGAGGCGCGAAAGCUAGGGGAGCGAACGGGAUUAGAUACCCGUGUAGUCC